GCUAUGGGGAUAGCUCACUUGGUAGAGCAUGAGACUCCUCAUCUUAGGAUCAUGGUUUUGAACCUCAUGUUGGGCA